rnacentral:sRNA from 1 species
GGACCACGAACUUUCGAAUCUUCGAGCGG